rnacentral:snRNA from 1 species
GUGCUCGCGUCGGCAGCACAUAUACUAAAAUUGGAAUGAUACAGAGAAGAUUAGCAUGGCCCCUGCACAAGGAUGACACGCAAAUUCAUGAAGCAUUCCAUAUUUUA